CGUAGGUGAACCUGCGGAAGGAUCAUUAUUGUAUAACCGAGGUGCGAGGGCUGUCGCUGACCCGAAAGGUCGUGCACGCCCGAGUGCCCUCACACACAUCCAUCUCACCCCUAUGUGCACCACCGCGUGGGUCCCCCUUUGGCUUGUUCGGAGGGGGGCUUACGCUUUCACACAAACUUUGUAUGCAGUGUAGAAUGUAUUUUUUGUUUUUGCGAUCACGCAAUCAAUACAACUUUCAACAACGGAUCUCUUGGCUCUC
rnacentral:misc_RNA from 1 species